GGCGGGCUAGCCUCUGUAACUCCGUUCAAAACGAGCUCUGCACUCUCUCUCUCUCUCUCUCUCUCUCUACUGUGGAGGUCGUGAGUAGGAAGAUGCAGAGCGGGGUGGAAGAUCCAGUGCGGGCGAAAAUGGCGGAGCUCCGGUUGGUCUGUGACAGGGAGAUUCCGAUACGGCACAGCCGCAUGGAUGCCGCCUUCAGCGCCGUCGUGGCGUCGCUUGAAUCAGCCAAGGCCCGGUCUCAAGAAACCGUUCAGAAUCAAGCAAAACUGGGAAAGCUAAAAGCUGAGCUGAGAGAGGCGGAGGAUGAUUUGGUGAAAGCCCUGGCAGCAAAGACUCGUAAAGAAGCAAGGCGGAUGGCCACAAUGGACAACAUAUCUUCUACAAGAGCUAAAAUAGAAGAGCUCAAACAAAUCAUUGAAGAUCAAAAGGCUAGAAGGAAUGAGUAUGCAGAGAUAAUAGCUCAACAAUCUGAAGCUCUGUCAACAUAUGAAGAAAAUUACAAGAAUAAUGAAGACACAGGAGUAGACGAGGCUGUUUCAUGGUACAAUAGGGCCCUUGGCUUCCGAGUAGAAUGCGGACAUGGAGUGAAAUUCAUAUUCACUAACAUCAAUUUGAAGAAUCCAAAGGAGGAGUAUUCCUUUUGCAUUCGACAUGAGAAUGAUUUAUACACUAUGCUCGAAUGUGACCCACACUUAAAUGACACCAAAGAUCUGAUCAAUGAGUUGAACAGAAGCAAUGGUCUAUUCAAAUUUGUCAGAUCUAUGAGAGAAAAGUUUCAAGUAGCUGCAGCACACGGAAUUUUGACUCAAGUUACUUCUUGUGAUCAAGACUCUUCAACAGUCUCUCUAUCUGCUCCGGUUUGUUCAGUUUCAACUGACAGUAGAAGUGAAUCUCCGUCAAAGCAAAAUAAACUUCAACCUGAAGAAGCCAACAGACAUCACAAGAAGGCUAACCAUGUCAGAGGAGUGAAGUUUUCUGGAAGAAGAGAUUUCUAGGAGGUGAACUAAUGCAAUUCCCUUCCCAAAGCACAGCCUUCUGUUUUCAACUCUUUUGGCCACGAGAGAAAAACGGGAAUUCCUUUUAAUCUUUCCAACAAUUAGAAUAGUUGUAAAGAAAAAGAAAGAAACUUUAAAGGUUGAAGUCAUCUAGUAAUGAGUGUUGAUGGGCUAGCCACCAUGUCUUGAGGUCAUGUUUAGCAUGCGUCAUCUACCAUUAUGGCAACUGUCUUCAAUCACUCAUGAUGCAAUGUACUAGUGUGAUGGAUGGUUACCCCGUUUGUCAUGUGUCAUAAUUGGCCGUUGCUAGCUUAGUCACAUGCAUCAUUGCUUUUACUCAUAUGGUUGAUGAAGUUUGAAUAACUAUCUGGAUAGUUAUGUCACUUCCGUGAAUACCCAUAAAUGAUUAGUUACUUGCACCCUAAGAGGUUUAUUCAUGAAGGAUUUCACCUUAUAAAUCAUCAAGCUUAUAUGGAUUUGUUUGUCGUGUUAUUUUAGUGACAUGAGAGUUCUUUGUUUUAGUCAUGGUAAUCGUUUGCUUUGUCUAAGAACUGGACCUCAGGAAGUAAUGUGAAAGAUUUAUUUAAUAUUCAUUAUCGCUUUAUCUACCUUGUAGGAUAAGGUGAUAGCACUCAACUCAAGUAGGCAAUGCCCUAUUAGAUAGGUAGGGAUAAUAAGCAUUCUAUCACAACACCCUACAACCUAGAUAAGGUGAUAAUAUUUAUUAGAUAAAUCUUUUAUAAUACUACUUGAUGUUCAGUUCUUGUGCUAAGAAAGGGAUAUCUGAUGUUUAAAAAAAUUAUCGACUAAUAAAGAAUUGCCACUUAACUAAAUAGCAUGUCGAACAAAUUUAUGUAACCUUGAUGGUUUACAAGGCGAAAUCUUUUGUGAAUAAACCUCUUAGGUGCACACCAUGUAACUACUCAUUUACGGGCAUUCAUGAAAUGAACAUAACUCUCCAAAUAGUUAUUUAGACUUCAAUU